GACACCACCCCAGCCAGCAUGGCCGGCAGGAGCGCACCGCGCUGUCUCCCUCCAGGGAUCCGCACCGCCCUACAAUCCUGCUUUGUGCUGAGAUUGUAGUCCUGCAGGCGUACAACUAACAAGCUGGGUGCAGAUAAGAGACUACAGCUCCCCGCAUCCCAAGCAAAGGUCCCUCCUCUACGGAGCCCCUCCACGCGUCCACUGCGGUUCCGCCGUGCCAAGGGGAGCUUGGCUGUUCACGGGCCUCACCUGCUAGCGAGAAGAUAGCUUGGCCGGGCGGCUGAUCUCACCUUGUAAUUCUGACACUGUGUCUCCCGGGCUUGUCGGCUUCAUGACUUGUGCCCAAAGUUUGAUUUCUCGCAGACCAGGAGGACCCAUUGGACCCCCGGGCUGGCUGCAGGGCCCACACCUGGGUUAGACCUCGCACAGGGACGCUGCUGCCACUGUAAUAAAGCGUGCCUACACGCUUCUGAAACUGGUGUAGGAACAACCUCAGUUCUGUGAAAGGCGGACGCAGCAGGACAGAAUCUCCGUGGACAUCUGUCUGGAGGAGCAAUUUUACUGCGACAUUUUAAAGAAACAAAUUUAAUUGAUUUCCAAGGGUGUCCAUCGCGCUUCCUUCACUGCCUUGAUCAUGUCGGGGUCACCACCUGCGGGGGUUUGUCCUGCAGACCCUGACUCAACGACGGAUGAAUAAUGUACACUGACACAGAUCUUAUGCUUGUCAGUCCUGCUGAGCAUCCAGGCCACUUACAGACUCCAAGAAGAGUCCUGUCAGCCACGGCUCUGACUUGUUGGCCCUCCCGGCAUUUAUUUAGCACACAUUUAAUGACAGAAGUCUCAGGUAAACACCACUAGAAGGCUGGAAACACUCUUUUUGUAGAACAUACAAAUGGACAUUUCUAAGCACAUUGAGGCCUAUAAUGAAAAAUCAAAUAUCCCACAAUGAAAACUAGAAGGAAGCUAUCUGUGAUAAUGCUUUGUGGUGUAUGGAUUCAUCUCACUGACUGAAACCUGAGUUUUGAUUCACCAGGUUGGAAACUCUUUCUGCAGAAUCUGCAAAGAAAUAUUUCUGAGCCCAUUGAGGCCUACAGUGGAAAACUGAAUAUUCUGUGAUAAAACUAGAAACACCCUAUCUGUGAAAAUGCUUUGUGAUGUGUGGAUUUUUCUCAUCGAAUGGAACCUCUGUUUUGACUCACAAGGGUGAAACACUAUUUUAGUAGAAUCUAGGAAGAAACAUAUCUGAGCCCAUUUAUGCCUACAGUGAGAAACUGAAUACCCUGCAAUAAAAAGUAGACAGAAGCUAUUUGUAAAAAUGCUUUGUGAUGUGUGGAUUCAGUGUUAAACUUUUAUUUUGAUUCCACAGUUUUGACACCCUAUUUGUAGAAUAUAUGAAUGAACAUUUCUCAGCCCAUUGAGGCCUAUCAUGUGAAACCAAAUAUUUUAUAAUAAAAACUGGAAACAAGUGA
rnacentral:lncRNA from 1 species